UACGUAGGGGGCUAGCGUUGUCCGGAAUCAUUGGGCGUAAAGAGCGUGUAGGCGGCCUGGUAAGUCCGCUGUAAAAGUCAAAGGCUCAACCUUUGAAUGUCAGUGGAUACUGCCGGGCUAGAGUCCGGAAGAGGCGAGUGGAACUCCUGGUGUAGCGGUGGAAUGCGCAGAUAUCAGGAAGAACACCAACGGCGAAGGCAGCUCGCUAGGACGGUACUGACGCUAAGGCGCGAAAGCGUGGGGAGCAAACAGG
rnacentral:rRNA from 1 species